rnacentral:rRNA from 1 species
UGGUGNACCCGCGGAGGGAUCAUUGCUGGAACGCGCCCCCGGCGCCCCCAGAAACCCUUUGUGAANUUAUACCNUACUGUUGCCUNGGCGCAUGCCGGCCCCCNGGGGCCCCUCGGAGACGAGGAGCAGGCACGCCGGCGGCCAAGUUAACUCUUGUUUUUACACUGAAANUNUGNGAAAAAAAAAAAAAAAUGAAUCAAAACUUUCAACAACGGAUCUCUUGGUUCNGGCAUCGAUGAAGAACGCAGCGAAAUGCGAUAAGUAAUGUGAAUUGCANAAUUCAGNGAAUCAUCGAAUCUUUGAACGCACAUUGCNCCCNCCGGUAUUCCGGAGGGCAUGCCUGUUCGAGCGUCNUUUCAACCCUCAAGCACUGCUUGGUGUUGGGGCACUGCUUCUCUCGCGGGAAGCAGGCCCUGAAAUUCAGNGGCGAGCUCGCCAGGACCCCGAGCGCANUANUUAAACCCUCGCUCUGGAAGGCCCNGGCGGNGCCCUGCCGUUAAACCCCCAACUCUUGAAAAUUUGACCUNNGAUCAGG